AACGAACGUUAGCGGCGCGCCUAAGACAUGCAAGUCGAGCGAGAAAGGGAUUCGUCCCCGGUAAAGCGGCGCACGGGUGAGUAACACGUAGGUCAUCAACCCCCGAGUGGUGGAUAACCCUCCGAAAGGAGGGCUAAUACAGCAUGAUGUUAGCAAUAACCAAAGCGGGCCUCUUCACGAAAGCUCGCGCUUGGGGAUGAGCCUGCGGCCCAUCAGGUAGUUGGCGGAGUAAUAGCCCACCAAGCCAUAGACGGGUAGCUGGUCUGAGAGGAUGAACAGCCACACUGGAACUGAGACACGGUCCAGACUCCUACGGGAGGCAGCAGUCGGGAAUCUUCCGCAAUGGGCGAAAGCCUGACGGAGCGACGCCGCGUGAGCGAUGAAGGCCUUCGGGUUGUAAAGCUCUGUGGGGAGAGAAGAAUAAGUUCAGGUCAAUACCCUGAAUGAUGACGGUAUCUCCUUGGCAAGCACCGGCUAACUCUGUGCCAGCAGCCGCAGUAAUAC
rnacentral:rRNA from 1 species